UACGUAGGGUGCAAGCGUUGUCCGGAAUUAUUGGGCGUAAAGAGCGUGUAGGCGGCCCGACCAGUCCGCUGUGAAAGUCCAGGGCUCAACCCUGGAAUGCCGGUGGAUACUGUCGGGCUAGAGUCCGGAAGGGGCGAGUGGAAUUCCUGGUGUAGCGGUGAAAUGCGCAGAUAUCAGGAAGAACACCCGUGGCUAAGGCGGCUCUCUAGUACGGUACUGACGCUGAGACGCGAAAGCGUGGGGAGCGAACAGG
rnacentral:rRNA from 1 species